rnacentral:rRNA from 1 species
GACGAACGCUGGCGGCGUGCCUAAUACAUGCAAGUAGAACGCUGAAGGAGGAGCUUGCUUCUCUGGAUGAGUUGCGAACGGGUGAGUAACGCGUAGGUAACCUGCCUGGUAGCGGGGGAUAACUAUUGGAAACGAUAGCUAAUACCGCAUAACAGUAGAUGUUGCAUGACAUUUGCUUAAAAGGUGCAAUUGCAUCACUACCAGAUGGACCUGCGUUGUAUUAGCUAGUUGGUGGGGUAACGGCUCACCAAGGCGACGAUACAUAGCCGACCUGAGAGGGUGAUCGGCCACACUGGGACUGAGACACGGCCCAGACUCCUACGGGAGGCAGCAGUAGGGAAUCUUCGGCAAUGGACGGAAGUCUGACCGAGCAACGCCGCGUGAGUGAAGAAGGUUUUCGGAUCGUAAAGCUCUGUUGUAAGAGAAGAACGAGUGUGAGAGUGGAAAGUUCACAC